rnacentral:pre_miRNA from 8 species
UAAUAUAUUAACAUGUUGGGGUUGGUCUGUAGGCAGUGUUGUUAGCUGAUUGUUUCAUAUGAACUAUAAUCACUAACCAUACUGCCAACACAACAACCUACAAGGAAACACAAAGCUGG